AGCGGAAUCGUUAAGCAGGCUUGCUAAUGAUUCCAAGAAAUCGGUUGAAGGCACCGGUUCUAAACAAGAACCGGUGCUCGAAUCCCAUCCCUAGUUGUGACUGUCUGAGUUUGUGAUAUGAGUCUACAGUCUCGUAUUUAUAUACAUGUUUCAUGUAUUUAUGUUUUUUACAUGUUGUGACAGUGCCUCAGUUUGUGAUUGGAGUCAAUGUUCUAGUAUUAACUUUGUUCUAUCUAUAGUCUUGGUUCUAUGUUCCCACUCUUGGCCUACAACUCGACGUGGUGAGUAGGCUUUAAACUAAGACAUGCCUUUUAUAUUUUUGGUUUGGUUCAGUCUAUCUUAUAAAUGUUACCAAGCCUUAAUUAAACCCCUUGUCUUCGGUUUGCAGAAACCCGAAACUUCAGAGUAUAUUUUAUCUUAAGGUAGAUAAUCUUUUUUGUUUCCUUAUCAGAUCCCAGUCCGUCAUGCUCCUCUACUUGUCGGCCGUGCCACCAUCAUGCAUCACUUCUCAGCGCCCUGCCCAGCUGGAUCUUAUUCCGUUACUCCAGCUCUUUCAUAAAAGUGACAAACAUAAAGACAUACAGCCCUACCGGUAAUCCCUGCUUUUCCUCCUCCUUGCUUCUCACCACCUGCACUGGCUGUCAUCCAUGGGGUCCCAACUUUCAGCCGCACAGCCAUUCGUCUCUGGAACUCUCCCACACUCCAUCCGUGACACUGACUCUAUCUCCCCACAAUCCAAUCAGGCGCUUCACAACCUGGUGAUAGGCGCUAGCGCCAAUGCGCUCAGUGGCGCCAUCUGGUGGAAAUAGGUGGUACAGCGCCUCAACCACCUGCCCCCUGGACCUUCAGGGAUGCUGGGCCGGAGCUGGGUUGCCAUGAUACAUUGUGAGUAGCAAAACAAACUUACACACUUCGGUUGUUGAUGGGAUUCCUCCAGAUGGGC